AACGAACGCUGGCGGCGUGCUUAACACAUGCAAGUCGAACGCGAAAGGGACUUCGGUCCUGAGUAAAGUGGCGCACGGGUGAGUAACGCGUGGAUAAUCUGCCCAAUGGUCUGGGAUAACAUCUCGAAAGGGGUGCUAAUACCGGAUAAGACCACGGGAUCUUAGGAUUCUGCGGUAAAAGGUGGGGACCUUCGGGCCUACCGUCAUUGGAUGAGUCCGCGUACCAUUAGCUAGUUGGUAGGGUAAUGGCCUACCAAGGCUACGAUGGUUAGCUGGUCUGAGAGGAUGAUCAGCCACACUGGAACUGAGACACGGUCCAGACUCCUACGGGAGGCAGCAGUGGGGAAUUUUGCGCAAUGGGGGAAACCCUGACGCAGCAACGCCGCGUGAGUGAUGAAGGCCUUCGGGUCGUAAAGCUCUGUCAGAGGGGAAGAAGUGCAGUGGUGCUAAUAUCGCCAUUGUUUGACGGUACCCUCAAAGGAAGCACCGGCUAACUCCGUGCCAGCCGCCGCGGUAAAAC
rnacentral:rRNA from 1 species